CCUUUGACGUUAGCGGCGGACGGGUGAGUAACACGUGGGUAACCUACCUAUAAGACUGGGAUAACUUCGGGAAACCGGAGCUAAUACCGGAUAAUAUUUCGAACCGCAUGGUUCGAUAGUGAAAGGUGGUUUUGCUAUCACUUAUAGAUGGACCCGCGCCGUAUUAGCUAGUUGGUAAGGUAACGGCUUACCAAGGCGACGAUACGUAGCCGACCUGAGAGGGUGAUCGGCCACACUGGAACUGAGACACGGUCCAGACNCCUACGGGAGGGCGAGCAGUC
rnacentral:rRNA from 1 species